AGAGAAUCCUUUCUUGGUUCCAAAGGACAAGAAGGAUCAACCGACCCUGCGUCUGCAACUCCGAUUCCACAUCCUAUUGUCAGCAGUGCUUGUAGCAGAACUUUCUAUCCUUCUUUGUGCUUCACUACCCUCUCUUCCAUUCCCGCUUCCAAGAAUUCCAUUACCUUCCUCUAUAUUCUUGAAUCUACGAUGGAUGCGGUUGAGAAAUCUGUAACCAGCGCAAGAACGCACGUUUUGGGUCUCUUCACCUUCCAGGAUUUGAUUUCCCAGGAGGAGAAUGCGCUAAAAGAUUGCGUGGAGAUGUUAGAUCAAACCCUUUAUGAACUUGGACUAGCCAUGGAUGAUCUGCACGAUUUCUCUGCACCCAUACGUCAUCUCCCUUUAUUGUAUGCUAAUAUCAAGACCCUACUUAGUGCAGCCAUGACGAAUCAGAAUACAUGCAUUGAUGGGUUCUCUGAUUUGGAUGAAUCUGCUUUUGAGAAUCACAAGGAUCUGAAAGUGAAGCUUCACCGCUUGUUUACCCCAGUAACUCGCAUGAUCAGCAACUGUUUGUCCAUAGUCACAUACAUGGAUGCCAUAAACGAGAGUGGAAUUUUUAAUGAUCAGCAGAUGUUUGUUAAAAAGAUUUUGCCGAAUAGGUUUCCAGCAUGGAUGACAUCUAGU
rnacentral:misc_RNA from 1 species